ACGGAAGGUGCGAGCGUUAAUCGGAAUUACUGGGCGUAAAGAGCACGUAGGCGGUUUGUUAAGUUGGAUGUGAAAGCCCAGGGCUCAACCUUGGAAUUGCAUCCGAUACUGGCAGGCUAGAGUACAGUAGAGGGAGGUGGAAUUUCCGGUGUAGCGGUGAAAUGCGUAGAGAUCGGAAGGAACACCAGUGGCGAAGGCGGCCUCCUGGACUGAUACUGACGCUGAGGUGCGAAAGCGUGGGGAGCAAACAGG
rnacentral:rRNA from 1 species